AUUGAACGCUGGCGGCAGGCCUAACACAUGCAAGUCGAACGGUAACAGGAAGCAGCUUGCUGCUUUGCUGACGAGUGGCGGACGGGUGAGUAAUGUCUGGGAAACUGCCCGAUGGAGGGGGAUAACUACUGGAAACGGUAGCUAAUACCGCAUAACGUCGCAAGACCAAAGAGGGGGACCUUAGGGCCUCUUGCCAUCGGAUGUGCCCAGAUGGGAUUAGCUAGUAGGUGGGGUAACGGCUCACCUAGGCGACGAUCCCUAGCUGGUCUGAGAGGAUGACCAGCCACACUGGAACUGAGACACGGUCCAGACUCCUACGGGAGGCAGCAGUGGGGAAUAUUGCACAAUGGGCGCAAGCCUGAUGCAGCCAUGCCGCGUGUAUGAAGAAGGCCUUCGGGUUGUAAAGUACUUUCAGCGGGGAGGAAGGGAGUAAAGUUAAUACCUUUGCUCAUUGACGUUUCCCGCAGAAGAAGCACCGGCUAACUCCGUG
rnacentral:rRNA from 1 species